GGGAUGGCUCCCCCCAGGGCUCAGGACGGCCCAGGGAUUGCUCUCGCCCCCCCGACCCCGGGGCCGAGGCGCUGCCCUCCGCGGGAUCGCGGCGCGGGCGGGCCCCGCCCCGGGCAGCCCUCGGCCGGAGGGUGCUGAAGGAACUUGGAAUGAAUGUGACAGAUGUGAAGAAGUGUGGAAACAAUUAAGAAGUGGCAUAAAGGUGCAGAAAAAGCAUGGAAAACAUAAGAAAAAUAACACUAAAGAAGAAAAGAAAGCACAGGCACCACCAAACAGCAAAGAUAAAAUCUACAAAUAACAGGAAAAAAAGCACAAUUAUUAAGGACUCCAACGCCCAGCUCGUGCCACAAUGCUCAGCAAAUUGUGCAAUUCGCCAUCUCUGACACGGGGUGGCACAACAUAGCUGGGAAUCCAUCGAGUGCGAAAUGGAACCGAGAGCACACGCAAACAAGAGGUCAGAGCCAACUACGAGGGAAUGUUGAAUAAUUCUAUUUCUAAACAUCAGACAAUUGCAAAUAUAAGCAUUUUCUGACUCGAAAGCUUUACCAAAGAGAACAGGCUUGAAGGAAUAAUGCUCUAUUGCAUGAAUUUGUCCUGUACAUGGAAGGAAUAAACUGUUACACGAUUUUGGGGCAUCACAUAUUUCACAAUUAACCUUUAAAUAGAAAUUAGUCAUCAAAAGCAACAGAAUACAAAACAUCCAUCUUUUUAAUAGUCCUUUCACAUUUUACAUAUUAGAAAAAUAUUUUCUAGUAGCCUAAAAAAACCCCACCACCUAGAUGAAAAGUGCCCCCCUCUCAAGUGGUUCAAGCAACAGCUCAGAAAUGUUGGAAUUUGAAAACAUUAAUUUGAAUGUCUGUCUCUGUGGGGUUGCAUGUAGAGACUGCAUUUGUACAGAAUUCCUUCUUGCUAUUUUCCCUAUGCAAGAAGUUCAAAUAUUGUUGUGGGAUUUUUUUUCCCCAACUUUAUUUUGCCCUUUUUGGAUGGUAAGGGCUUUGGGCUGUGGUUUUGUAGCCCAUCCAAAUAAUUUGGCUCCUGUCUUAGACACCUGUGAUACAAAAUUACAAGAUCAGCACAUCAUGGAGCAGCAGCUUUCAGAUCUGUGGGCAGGAAGUGUGUAAUAUUUUGCUUCACUUCUGCUAUUCCUAUCACCACCUCUGGAAAGCCAUUCUAUUGGAAUCAGCUGUCCCACUGCAGUAGCUGGGUUUCAUGGUCUUGGUAUAUCAUGAGGGAUUAUUGAUCCUAUAGUGACCCUCCCCACAGUCUUUCUGUGUCCCUGUGACCCCUCUCCCAACUCGCCGUGAGCUACUUCAGAUCCACCCCACGAUGCUGCAGUGGACUAGUUCUUCAGCAGACUUGCACUUCACGUCUCCUGACACCCCCACCCCCAUGUUUUGUCUUUUUCUAUCUCUGAACAAAUCCCUGGCUGUUGAAAAGAAGCCAAGGUCUAAGCCAGGUCUCAGUGAAGAACUUCUGUUUGGAAUUCAGCUGGAAAAGUACAACAAAUACAGAGAAUGCACAUCUUUCUGAGUCAAACCAAGGCCCAGACCUUGGCCAUUUCAGGGGCAGAGCUGUUACCUACACACAAAUGAGAACCUGUUCCUCCCCUGUGGGUAUGAUUUCAGGAGCAUUUAUAUAUUUUUCUCUAGCAGGGAACAGUUUGUUGGCUACAAACAGCCAUACUGGUACGAGUGAAAGCAAGAGCCAGCCAUGAGAAUCCUUCUAUCCGUAUUGGUGGGGGGACGUGUUAUGAUUAUUUAGUUUAUAGAAUCUACUGAUGUUCUUCAUUACUCUUUAAAUAAGAUUUCUGUAUCUGCAAAUGAAAGGUACUAAAUGCAUUGCUAUUAAUACCAUAUUUGCAAAUUUCUAUGCCCUCAAGAAAAGUGGAUAUUAAUUUCACUUUGGCUGAAAACUGAGGGACCUAUUAACUGUGGGAAUAAUGUGGAAAAAUAACAGAAACAGGAGAUCUCUUGAAUCUGCCUUUUCCAGAUAAGGACUGUGAGACAAUCCCAGUACACCAAUAGCACUGCAGACAAUUGUGUGGUUGUGUACUGUUAACUCACAGUCCUUAAUUUGUACUGGCAGGUCUGCCUGU